rnacentral:misc_RNA from 1 species
GGAGGACUGAGAACAUGGCUCGUAAAGCUGCAGGAGAAGAGCUACUGCCAGAAGAGGAUCCCUCUAAUCCUGUCUUUAAGCCACUCCCAGAGCCCUCACGGUUGGAUAGCUUUCUCAUAACUAAUCAAAUUUCAAAUUACUGCAACCAGAUUAAUGGAGUUGCGGGACAAAGCCUCAGUAGACUACAUCUGAUGAAGGCUUUGCACGAGAACUGAGCAAGUUUUGCGUUGGCAAUUUGUACCUUAGAUUUUUGUGCCUUUUUUUUCAACUUUACUGAUGUGAGAGGGAAAGAGAAUGACCUUUAUCUCUGUUAGGUGUCUUUAGUUUUUGCUUUUACAUUCUUCUAUGAUUGGCAAUCAAGUGUAGCCUACCUUGAAUCAUAUAUGUGAAGAUUUACAUCUAGUCCACAGAGAAGGAAUAGGGAUCUAUGUAUCGAUGACCUUAUUGUUUUUUGAUCGAUUGUGUGGA